AUUGAACGCUGGCGGCAUGCCUUACACAUGCAAGUUGAACGGCAGCACGGGUGCUUGCACCUGGUGGCGAGUGGCGAACGGGUGAGUAAUACAUUGGAACGUACCUUAUCGUGGGGGAUAACGCAGCGAAAGUUGCGCUAAUAAAACAUACGCCCUGAGGGGGAAAGCGGGGGGCCGUAAGGCCUCGCGCGAUUAGAGCGGCCGAUGUUUGAUUAGCUUGUUGGUGAGGUAAAAGCUCACCAAGGCGAUGAUCAGUAGCUGGUUUGAGAGGACGAUCAGCCCCCCUGGGACUGAGACACGGCCCAGACUCCUACGGGAGGCAGCAGUGGGGAAUUUUGGACAAUGGGGGCAACCCUGAUCCAGCAAUGCCGCGUGAGUGAAGAAGGCCUUCGGGUUGUAAAGCUCUUUUGUCAGGGAAGAAACAGCAGCUUUAACACAGUCUGCGAAUGACGUUAAAGGGAGAAUAAGCCCCGGCUUACUUCGUUCCAGCAGCC
rnacentral:rRNA from 1 species